UCAUUACGAGCAUAUUGAUAAAACGA
rnacentral:sRNA from 1 species